rnacentral:rRNA from 1 species
UACGUAGGGGGCAAGCGUUGUCCGGAUUUAUUGGGCGUAAAGAGCGUGUAGGCGGCUUUACAGGUCCGUUGUGAAAACUCGAGGCUCAACCUCGAGACGCCGGUGGAAACCGUAAGGCUAGAGUCCGGAAGAGGAGAGUGGAAUUCCUGGUGUAGCGGUGAAAUGCGCAGAUAUCAGGAAGAACACCCGUGGCGAAGGCGGCUCUCUGGGACGGUACUGACGCUGAGGGACGAAAGCUAGGGGAGCGAAUGGG